ensembl:lincRNA
CUAGGAAAAUCGCUGAAGAGGGAGGAGCUUGAAUCUGGCAGGCAUUCAGAAGAGGAUGCAACACAGUUUCCAGGUUGUACCUGGUUCCCUAUGUGUACUUUUCUAGGAAAUAAGGAAGAUAUUGGCAGAAAAGCCUCAGGCGGGAGCCAGCAGCUGCACAGGGAGGCCCAGGCACCAGAACCUAGACACUUCCAAGAAGAGUCCUAAGGCCACCUUCAAAUGAGAGCCCCAGGGGCUGGGCUGUAGCACAGUGAGUCUUUGAAGUUUGUUGCAAGUUCCUGACAUUCUUCCCCAACAGGUUUUCAUCUGUGAGUUAUUUCCAGGAGGCUGAAGUCUGGGUUCACUGCACACACUUUGAGUUGAGGACAAGGAAAGGCUCUUCCCUUCCACACAUCCCCAGAGCAGAUGCAAAUCAGCGAGGCACAGCCAUCAGGAAUGUGGGGCACCCGGGAGCCCAGUGGGCCCAAUGCAGGAGGCAGGUGGGGCAGGAGAGGACCGGACACUGUCGUUGGCCAGCAGUCAGCAAGCUCCUAACUCCUGACACACAGAGAACACAAGCAGUGCACGCUCACACGCAGCUCUCCAUGGCCCUUAUCUGCUCUGUACUCCGCCCCAAAGACGAUGCUGAUCUUUUUCCAGGUGAGCAGAAGUCUGCAGAGCCACAACUGCAGAGAGCAGACUACGGCAGACCGGGCACAGCUACAGUUUCAGCCAGAGUUGAACAAGGGGUCACUGUGCACCACCGGCUGGUUCCGGGGCACCAGCAGGAGCAGUGUACUGUGGCCCCCCGUCCACGUGGCCCUGACCUUGCAGCCCACCCGUGCAGCCAGUGGACUUGUCCUUCCUGUCACUACUCCAGAACAUGCUCACCCACAAGGGAAGGCUGUCCGUGGACACACAGAUGGGACUUGAGAAGGAAGUUCUGCAUCUCCCCCAGGGACACUGUCACAGGAGGAGACCAGCUGGGGACCCUCCACUGGGCGCACUGACACCACCUCAGUUCACCAGGAGCCCGCCAGGGCGGGGCAGUUGGGAGCAGCUACUUUAAUCACUGCAUUCAGACCCAGCUCCCCUCCAGUGACUGCACUGCAUUUCCAUCUUCACGCAACUUUUCUCAGUCCUCAAAGGCUUUCCCAUCAGCAAGUUUUAGGCUACCAAACUCAAAGGUUUUGAUGUUUGAUUCUGAUUUUCCCACUGGCCUGCCCGAUGCGCCCAAAUUCACACCAGCUCACACAGACACUGCCCACGGCCACAGCGACAGAUAGCUCCACCCCAGCCUCAACCCAGAGGAGCAGCGACACACGGGCUGCUUCUCCAACGCGCCUCUGCACACACCUGCUUCCCAGCCACAGGCAGAGGAAAUGAUGGGCUGAAUGUGGACUUUCUUGAGGUGCAUCCUUGGAUGCGUACCCCAAGUUUAGGGAAAAAUGCGUGUAACCACCGGAGUCCAGAUACCUACUGUUUGAAUUUUCACAUGAGUGGUAGGUUCAUUCAUGCUGCUAUCUGACUGCGGGACAGUGAAUCAAGGUGAGCGAGGUUAAAUUCAGAUGCGCUCAUAGCAGGUGUAGUGUUACUAACAACUUGUGUACUGGUCCUGCUUAGUUUUGCUAAGCAUCGUUUAAAAAGAGGAAAAGACUUGAGUUGACCAGCAAGCGAGACAGAGAUGCUCACCUUCAAACAGAAAAUCUCUCUUCAAGCAGGAAGACAAACUCUCCCAUGAAUGUCAGCAACAUUUGCAGGCAGGACUUAUUGUUUUAGGUGUGAGCAUAAAAGAGGAAACAAGGGGGGGUCCCGCUGAUUAGGGAAUGAGCUGCAGUUAUCCACAGAAAAUGGGCCCUGUGUCCGCCAGCUCAGAGAACAUCACAGGGAGAAACAUGACUCGUCACUCGGUCCCCUCAACAGACCCGGCAGCUGUGAUGAAGGAGGCCACGUUAUUACUUAAAAGGACCAGAAUUCACACUGAAUUCAUCUGCUUCCAAAACCUAUAUGAGCGAGAAAGGGCAAAGGGGUCUGCGCUUUCCUUUCCUCCAACCCUGGAGAGUGCAUAAAGUAGGUUCAGCUGCUGGGGGGCGGGGUAGGAGGAGAAGCAGAUCCACCUGUGAGAUGAGCGGGGAGCCAGGCCUGUCCACCCUCCCUGCAGCAGCAGCCCCUCACCUUCCUGGGCCUCCUGCUACUCUGAUGACAGGUAGGGAUCUUACUGCAAAAUACCCAGAGCAAGCUACAGGUGCAUUUUGGUUGGAGGCAUUCUCAGAAGGAGGUAAUGAGGAGGGUGUCUCCGUCUCACAGCUGGGUAAACUGAGGCCAUGAGCUGCCAAACCAGGGCGGAGGAGGAGCCUACUCCUCAGCCGAGCUUGACCUUGAUGGGCUGUAACCCUAGAGUGCUCUCUUCAUGGUAACUGAGCAACACCUGAGAGGAGGGGGUCAGCUACCCUUUGAACUUAUCACAGCUUAGCCACGAGGCGCUUCUCAGUAACAGCUUGGAGGAAUUAAACAGGAGGUAUGUCAAGAGAAAAGGAGUUUCUCUGGGUGUCCCGCCUUUAGGUUACCAGCACAGCUGGGCUUCGGGAGGUUUCAUUUGCUACCUCCACCUGUGUCUGGGCCGCGGCAGUUGUCACGGCUCCUUUUUGGCCUUCAUGGCCCUUGUUCUACAACAAGUACAGCAAUGUGCGCUCAGAAGGCCGAAGCUGCCGUGGGAACGGCUCAGCAGACCUGCAAGAGCCAUGCUCUGACCAGCUCCGCUCCAACCCCAGGCUCUAGGGGGCAGUGCGCCUCAGCCUGGGGCACUGGCAAGGCUGCGAGCAUCGUCCGCCCACAGCAGGGCCAGGUUAGGGAACUGACAGCUGCCCCCGGGCUCCAGUGGACUCACUGCCCGAGACCUGGUCUGCCCAC